AGAGAGAGAGAAAGCAGAGGAAUUGUGGCUCCGCAUGUGGGAACUAGGGCAGACAGAAGCCAAAUUCAGAGAAGCAGGAGGGGGAACUUGCUUUUAUAGGGAAAAGGGGGAGGCGGGCGGGGCUGUGGUAACUGAAGAGCCCAUUGGAGGACCUGGGGUGCGAGUCCGAAAUAUGGAGGCUUCCAUUGGCUGAGGCUGCAGUCUCUGAUUGGCUGGGCGUCCUGGGGCGGAGGGACGUUUCCUUCCUUCCGCAGAGGUAAGUGGAGGCACCUUCCUGCCCAGGAGGUAGGCAGGGAUCUCUUCCUGUUUGGGGUAAUUGACUUGUGUGGCCGCUGUGAGAGCUCCCGAGAGGGGCGUCCGCGUUCCAGCUCUAGCUGAGGAUUCGUGCUGAAUAAUAUUCCACUGCCUGGCUGGACCACAGCUGUUCAUCUGUCCACCUGCCGAAGGCCAUCUCCGUUACUGCCGAGCUUUGGAAUUUUGAGCAAAGCUGUGACAAACCCUUGCGUGGAUGGGCUGUGGAUAUAAGUUUACAACUCUUUUGGGUAAAUACAAAGGCACACGACUGCUGGAUUAUAAGUCUUGAAAGCCUCAGAGCAGAAGCAUCUUCUCGCUCUGAAGAGCUGAAGUCUGCACACAAUGGAUGGCGCGGACAGGAAGUUUUGAAGGUCUGAAGGGCAGGCAUCAGCGCCGCCUCUGGAAGCAUCUGUGGCUGAGAUGAAGGCCUUCACGCAGCGUCUUCUUUAGAACGCCAGACUUGGGGGUCAGGGCUUUGCACACUGUUGGGGUGGCUGCAUCUUCUCAUGUGAUACAAGCAUCAGCCGAAGCUGAAAUGACGGAAGUGGGACGCACGCCCUCUCUCCGUCUUUCCCGAGUGGCGCUCCCCCCACGGAGACCCGCCUGAGUACCAAACGCCUUACAGGUCUCUGCGUGCAACCGGGGAUGGAGAGAGAAACAGCAGGCAGCUGCCCGUCUCUACGUGCGGUCCUCGGUGCUUGCAGGAGGGUCCGUGCAGCCCCCAGCGAGAAGCCCGCCGCCGCCAGAUGCCAGCUGCAGCGGCAAGCCUGCCUACCACGCGUUGCCCUGGGUCUUGUCAGUGACGGGCAGCUUUUCUGCUACAAGGCGCUCCAGAGGAGAGGCAGGGAAGACUUGCCAGCACGAGGUGGCUGCCUGGGCGGCGGAGCUGGUGAGCUCCCCCCUCUUGCCUUUGCAGGUGAUCGGGUGGCUAGAGAGCGCCUUAAAUGUUUUUUUCUAGAAGGGAUGGAAUUUAUGGACCCAGAAGAGUGUUGUCUGGCCGCUUUUCCCAGGAAGGUGCAAAAUGCUUGGAAUCUUUUUUGGAAUGAACUUCAGAACCAGGGGCCCGUUCUGUGGCAUAUCCUUCACGGCCAGAAGCCAUCAUCCUGUGAAGAUGUUUCGCAGGUUUUGAAGUGAUCCAGCGUCACUCAGGACGAGUCUGAUGACACAUCUGGGCAUCGAGCUGUAAAGAGUCAUGGGACUAAAGCGUCUCCAAAGUGGUUUCAGGGACAAGAGUUUUGCAUCACGGGGAAGCGUGUGUUGCUCUAGAAGAUGUCGCAGCUGCGGAAACACUGCACGCACCUGUCCUGAUGCCACUGUGUGCUGUGGCUUUUAGUAGCAAGCGGACAUUCUGAAUCCCAGGUUCAUGGCAGGAAGCCACCGAGGGUCUUUUCUCACUGUUCUCUGCAUUUGAUGGCAACUGCAUUACAGAUACUUGUAAAAGCCCAUUUUAUCUUUCAAAGCUAUUUUUUUUUUUCAG